rnacentral:lncRNA from 1 species
GACUGCAGCCGGAGCGGGGAUUGGGGCAGGGGCACGCGGACGGGUCGGGGGCUUUGCUGCGGGGCUCAGCAGAACCUGAUUCUUCAGGCCUGUGGUGGAAGGAGGGCGCUGGGGGCCGAAGUGGCUGUUGGGGAGCAGCUGGAGGGACUGGGUGUAGAGGGCGCUGCUUAAGGCGGUCCGGGAUCAGCCCACUGAGGUUUCCGAGCGACUAGGGCUGCAGUACCAGCGGAGGGCUAGACUUGGGCCGGGGGGUCGCUGCACAGCCCUGUCGCCCACCCUCUUCUGCCGCACUUAGCUGAAUGCAGGAAAAGCUUCUUCCGCCCCCCUCUGCCCUGGCUUCGCCUCACCCACUCUUAUGCCGCGCGGUCCCCCCUCCCUGGGAGCACUUAGCCGGCUAAUGGACCUCCCGCCGGCAGGCACCCCUCCCCCGUCCCUAGCCCAGGGAGGCCGGGCGCCUGCCACCUCCUUUAAGGACCCAAGCAUCCUGGUCUUCGAGAGUGAGCCCUAGAACAGCCCCCUUCUUGUUGCUGCAGACUCCCAUGACUGGAACCUGACUGGCAAAGGAGGAGCCCAACAUCCUGGGUUGGAGUUUGGAUGCAGCCCCAGCUGUGUGACCCCGGGGCCAAUCCCAAUCCAUCUCUGAACCCCACCCGCUGCAGAGGGCUUCCCCCCACAACAUCCAAAGAGUGUCUUUGAGGGGCUGGAGCAGAAACAUUGCCUCUCAGAUCCAAGACCCUGUUUGGGGUGGCACAAGCCUUCUGAGGAAAUGCAGGCACAGAGGAAGACAUUCAUUCUUUCAAAAUCAUUUGUUCAACCAAUGCAGCGGCCUACUACGAGUGUGACAUAGUUCUAGGUGCUGGAGUUCAGCGGGAGCCAGGAGCCCAGUCCACGUGUCGGUCCGUGCGGAGGAGCCCGUUCGCUCCUCGCUGGCCGAGGGCUGGAGGACCUGGACAUCGGGGACCGCAGCGUCUCCUCACCAGACUCCCUGUCUGCACACGAUGUCCACUCCCCUGCAUUCUCAGAUAGCCCCUAUUCUCAGAUGGCCUCAAUGAGGACAGAAUGAGGAAGGGUCCAAUGAAGACUAGGGUCCUGGCGUGAGCGCAAAUCGUCGUCCUGAGCGCUUAGAACGCCUGGGUUUGGGACUGGAAGGUUGCGUUUGGGGAGUACGGACAGCUAGGCCACCCCCUGCCGAAUAGACCCUCCCCUACCCCUGCCCGGGGGCGGAGUAGGGGAGAGGGGCCUGUAGAGGGGCUGGCCCUUUAAGGGGGUGUGGUCGGGGGGCGGAGGAAGAGCGAGACAGAGAAAGCGCUUCGGCGGCUGCAGCUCGGGCGGCGGCCGCGGGGGACAAAGGGCGGGCGGAUC